UACAGAGGGUGCAAGCGUUAAUCGGAAUUACUGGGCGUAAAGCGUGCGUAGACGGUUAUGUAAGUCAGAUGUGAAAGCCCCGGGCUCAACCUGGGAAUUGCAUUUGAGACUGCAUAGCUAGGGUGCGGAAGAGGGAAGCGGAAUUUCCGGUGUAGCGGUGGAAUGCGUAGAGAUCCGGAAGAACACCGGUGGCGAAGGCGGCCUGCUGGGCAGUGGCUGACGCUGAGGCGCGACAGCGUGGGGAGCAAACAGG
rnacentral:rRNA from 1 species